rnacentral:rRNA from 1 species
GUGUCAGCCGCCGCGGUAAUACGAAGGGGGCGAGCGUUGUUCGGAAUUACUGGGCGUAAAGGGCGCGCAGGCGGCUCGUUUUGUCAGGCGUGAAAGCCCCGGGCUUAACCUGGGAGGUGCGUUUGAUACGGGCGGGCUAGAGUUCGGGAGAGGAGAGUGGAAUUCCCAGUGUAGAGGUGAAAUUCGUAGAUAUUGGGAAGAACACCGGUGGCGAAGGCGGCUCUCUGGACCGAGACUGACGCUGAGGCGCGAAAGCGUGGGGAGCAAACAGGAUUAGAAACCCUCGUAGUCC